rnacentral:rRNA from 1 species
CACGGGAAAACUUACCAGGUCCAGACACAGUGAGGAUUGACAGAUUGAGAGUUCUUUCUUGAUUCUGUGGGUGGUGGUGCAUGGCCGUUCUUAGUUGGUGGAGUGAUUUGUCUGGUUAAUUCCGUUAACGAACGAGACCCCCGCCUGCUAAAUAGUCCCGUAAAUGAAUAUUCAUUGACGAGGGCUUCUUAGAGGGACUUUUGGUGACUAACCAAAGGAAGCCGGGGGCAAUAACAGGUCUGUGAUGCCCUUAGAUGUCCUGGGCGGCACGCGCGCUACACUGAUGCAUUCAACGAGCUUAUAACCUUGGCCGAGAGGCCUGGGCAAUCUUGUAAACGUGCAUCGUGAUAGGGAUAGAUUAUUGCAAUUUUUAAUCUUGAACGAGGAAUUCCUAGUAAACGCAGUUCAUCAAACUGCAUUGAUUACGUCCCUGCCCUUUGUACACACCGCCCGUCGCACCUACCGAUUGAUUGGUCCGGUGAAGCCUCGGGACUGUGGGUAUGUUCCUUUACUGGGACGUAUCUUUAGGAAC